rnacentral:rRNA from 1 species
ACGUUGAGUAACCUGCCCUUAACUCUGGGAUAAGCCNGGGAAACUGGGNUCUAAUACCGGAUAGGAGCGNCCACCGCAUGGUGGGUGUUGGAAAGAUUUAUCGGUUUUGGAUGGACUCGCGGCCUAUCAGCUUGUUGGUGAGGUAAUGGCUCACCAAGGCGACGACGGGUAGCCGGCCUGAGAGGGUGACCGGCCACACUGGGACUGAGACACGGCCCAGACUCCUACGGGAGGCAGCAGUGGGGAAUAUUGCACAAUGGGCGCAAGCCUGAUGCAGCGACGCCGCGUGAGGGAUGACGGCCUUCGGGUUGUAAACCUCUUUCAGUAGGGAAGAAGCGAAAGUGACGGUACCUGCAGAAGAAGCACCGGCUAACUACGUGCCAGCAGCCGCGGUAAUACGUAGGGUGCGAGCGUUAUCCGGAAUUAUUGGGCGUAAAGAGCUCGUAGGCGGUUUGUCGCGUCUGUCGUGAAAGUCCGGGGCUUAACCCCGGAUCUGCGGUGGGUACGGGCAGACUAGAGUGCAGUAGGGGAGACUGGAAUUCCUGGUGUAGCGGUGGAAUGCGCAGAUAUCANGAGGAACACCGAUGGCGAAAGGCAGGUCUCUGGGCUGUAACUGACNCUGAGGAGCGNAAGCAUGGNGGAGCGAACANGAUUAG